UACGUAGGGUGCAAGCGUUGCCCGGAUUUAUUGGGCGUAAAGGGCGCGUAGGCGGCUCUGCACGUUCGUUGUGAAAUCGCCCGGCUCAACUGGGCGGGGUCAGCGGAUACGGCAGAGCUUGAGCAAGCUAGGGGGCAAUGGAAUUCCCGGUGUAGUGGUGGAAUGCGUAGAUAUCCGGAGGAAUACCAAAGGCGAAGGCAGUGUCCUGGGGAGUGUCUGACGCUCAGGCGCGAAAGCUAGGGGAGCGAACAGG
rnacentral:rRNA from 1 species